CCGCGCUCCGGUCCGCAGCCCGCCCGGGCCCCGGCUCACCCGGGCUGCCGAGCCAGCCCGGGGUCGGAUGGGGCGACCCCCAAUUCGCCGCCCCUCCGGGGUCCGGAGCCCUAGCCAGGCCGCUCCACGCCCCGCCCCACGGGACGUGACCUCAGUGGGUCUGGCACCGCGGGGCAAGGGAGAUUGACUCACCUCGGAUUUGCCCCGCGAGAAUUAACUGGGAAAACCGCAGACUGCGCAACAACAUACCGGGCGACCCCAUAGCCACCCCCUGACAGCCCAUCGACCCCGCAGCCACCCCUUGGGGGCAACUUCGAGGAGAUCGAAGGCCAAGGACCUUAUUCUCAACGGUCCGCUGAAGCCUCACACAGUAGACCCGCGAGUUGAGAUGCUGGAGGGCUGAGUAUGUCACCUGCUAAACCUACUACGACCCACCACCGUCCUUGACUCCCAGCCCGGGCGCCUUCUCGGACCCGGGUUUCCUCCAUCCCUCUUCCCAGCCUCGCUCAGUUCUGGGCGCCGGCCUCCACCAAUCCCCCAGAGCCCAAUAAAUACCCAGAGAUCUGCAUUUGCAGCAAGGAGCACAUCUCGCACUCCUGCAUAAGUUAAAAUAAAUAUUACAUACACCCCUCCAUCACCUAGGGGGACAUACAUAAAUACAUAUAAAUAUUAUUAGGAGCAAUGAGAAAUAACGACGCUCUCCUGCCACCCGGCCUAGCCCCGGCGUGUCGGUGCCUGUCUCUCCCAGGCUCGGGCUGGCAUCUCCGCUGUAGUGUUCUGAGUGCGAGUUGCCUUGGGAGUCCCAGUUUGGGAUACGCUCUUUCUCCCACCAGGUACACCCAGUGUUUCUUGGUUUUUCAGAUUCUUCUGGGCGUGUGGAGAGUCCGGUUAGAAGGCGGCAGGGUGUUGCUGGAGAAAAGUGCUGAGGUCCAAAGCGUAGUCCGAGGGCUCCGAGGUCAGAUUAAGGGGCUCGAGGACCGGGGGCACAACGGUGGGCGCGGGGGACUGCGCGCUGGGGGUGUCCUCCGGGACCAGGGGUGUCGACACACCCUCUUCAGCCAUCAGGAUCUGGCAGAAGAUGAUGGUGAGCAGGAGAAAGAGCAGCCUUUUGGCAGGGUUCGGAUCCUCGACUGGCAGCUGACGCCGGACC